CCAGAGAGGACUCUUAACUCUUCCUCCUGCAAGACUCAGUCCCAAGGCCCAGGAAAGCCCCAGUUGCUAACUCUGAUUUGGCCCUUGUUGAGCUCUCCAUGGACAUGGUGGCCCCUGUGGACAGGGAGACAGGAGAGUGGAUUCUGCUCUCCCCCUUCUUCAGCAUCACGUUCCUCAUUCUCACUCUCUCAUCUUAUUAAUGGCGGCAAGAGUUGGGAAGAUGUCACAGCAUAUGGGGGCAGGAGGCAGGGGCUAUGCUUCAGACAGGCUAUUGCUGAAGACAACAUGAUAUAACAGAAUUGGAAGUGCUUUCACAAACAUUGUUUUAUGAACACAAGGUUCAUCCCCAUCUUGUGGAAUUGGAUUUCCACCAAGGGUUCCUGCUCCUCAUUUAGCGUGGAAGAAAGUGGAUUUUGCAAAUAACAUUCAUGAUGUUUUGGGCAGUAUCUACUCUGCCUGCAAGCUUAGGCUACAAAUGACAAAUGGCACACCAAAGUGAGGUGUGGUCGUGCAGACAGAAAAAGCAAGGGCCUCCUAAUGCCCAGGAAGCAAAAAGGAAAGAACGUCUCUUCGGUACCUCAUGACUUCCUGCUAGAGGCCUGAAGUCACUGGCACACUGGAGGAUUCUGUUAGUAUUCUCAUCAGGUAUGCUGUUUAUUAGACAGAUUAAGACUAAAAGAAAAUACACAAAAAUAGAAAGCUGCUUCUUUGAGAAUGAUGAGUAUGUUUUCAAAAACUUUAAAUUUUAAAUAUUUAUAGAUUCACAUGA